GAUGAAGAACGUAGCGAAAUGCGAUAAGUAAUGCGAAUUGCAGAAUUCAGUGAGUCAUCGAAUCUUUGAACGCACAUUGCGCCCUGUGGUAUUCCGCAGGGCAUGCCUGUUCGAGCGUCAUUUCAACCCUCAAGCUCUGCUUGGUGUUGGGCCCUGCCCGCUGCGGCCGGCCCUAAAGACAGUGGCGGUGCCGCCUGGCCCUGAGCGUAGUACAUCUCUCGCUCCAGUGCCCGGUGGUAGCCUGCCAGCACCCCAACUCUCGUGGUUGACCUCGGAUCAGGUAGGGAUACCCGCUGAACUUAAGCAUAUCAAUAACGGAGGA
rnacentral:misc_RNA from 1 species